rnacentral:rRNA from 1 species
UGGGGAAUAUUGGACAAUGGGCGAAAGCCUGAUCCAGCCAUGCCGCGUGUGUGAAGAAGGUCUUCGGAUUGUAAAGCACUUUAAGUUGGGAGGAAGGGCAGUAAGCGAAUACCUUGCUGUUUUGACGUUACCGACAGAAUAAGCACCGGCUAACUCUGUGCCAGCAGCCGCGGUAAUACAGAGGGUGCAAGCGUUAAUCGGAAUUACUGGGCGUAAAGCGCGCGUAGGUGGUUCGUUAAGUUGAAUGUGAAAGCCCCGGGCUCAACCUGGGAACUGCAUCCAAAACUGGCGAGCUAGAGUAGGGCAGAGGGUGGUGGAAUUUCCUGUGUAGCGGUGAAAUGCGUAGAUAUAGGAAGGAACACCAGUGGCGAAGGCGACCAACUGGGCUCCUACUGACACUGAGGUGCGAAAGCGUGGGGAGCAAACAGG